rnacentral:rRNA from 1 species
UACGGGGGGGGCAAGCGUUGUUCGGAAUUACUGGGCGUAAAGGGCUCGUAGGCGGCCAACUAAGUCAGACGUGAAAUCCCUCGGCUUAACCGGGGAACUGCGUCUGAUACUGGAUGGCUUGAAUCCGGGAGAGGGAUGCGGAAUUCCAGGUGUAGCGGUGAAAUGCGUAGAUAUCUGGAGGAACACCGGUGGCGAAGGCGGCAUCCUGGACCGGCAUUGACGCUGAUGAGCGAAAGCCAGGGGAGCAAACAGG